UACGUAGGGGGCGAGCGUUGUCCGGAUUUAUUGGGCGUAAAGAGCGUGUAGGCGGCCAGGUAGGUCUGCUGUGAAAACUCGAGGCUCAACCUCGAGACGUCGGCGGAAACCAUCUGGCCAGAGUCCGGAAGAGGAGAGUGGAAUUCCUGGUGUAGCGGUGAAAUGCGCAGAUAUCAGGAAGAACACCCGUGGCGAAGGCGGCUCUCUGGGACGGUACUGACGCUGAGGUGCGAAAGCGUGGGGAGCAAACAGG
rnacentral:rRNA from 1 species